GCAAGUGAGGGGCAGCGCGGGUGGCAACACCUGGCGGCGACCGGCGGACGGGUGAGUAACACGUAUGCAACCUGGCCCUGCACAGGGGGAAUAGCCCGGAGAAAUCCGGGAUUAAUGCCCCCAUGGGUCCACUGGGGUCCGCGAAUGGGAUCUGGUGGUAAAGAUUCAUCGGUGCAGGAUGGGCAUGCGUUCCAUUAGCUAGUUGGCGGGGCAACGGCCCACCAAGGCGACGAUGGAGUAUGGGGUCUAAAAGGAUGGUCCCACACAUUGGCACUGAGAUACGGGCCAAACUCCUACGGGAGGCAGCAGUGAGGAAUAUUGGUCAAUGGGCGAGAGCCUGAACCAGCCAUCCCGCGUGCAGGAUGAAGGUCUUUAACCAGAUUGUAAACUGCUUUUGCAGGGGACGAAUAAGAAUCACGUGUGGUUCGAUGACAGUACUCUGUGAAUAAGCAUCGGCUAACUCCGUGCCAGCAGCAGC
rnacentral:rRNA from 1 species